AGGCCUGACCGUUUGUCCUUGAGCCGUAGAUGGUCAACAAUCCGCUAGCUGUCUUGCUCUGACUGGUGCACUGGACAUGAUUUCAAUAGUCAGCCAGACCAUGAUUGAGCUUAAGGGUUGUGCUGCGGAUGCAGCCUGUGCAGUUCCGGGAGAAAGUCACUGUCUCGGGCAAUGCGGUCUGGUAUCAGGUCUGGAUGAUCCUUGCCUGACUGCGGGUUUGUGUACACCUCAAUCCGACUCUGUGUCCUGAACAGAGGCCGCAGUGGUGCAGCGCUUGUGGACAAUCCAUCAACAUCCUGAAAGGUCAACACUACACCAAGCUGGGAAAAUUGAUCCUGAUAGUCAUCCCCAGGUAGUGGAAUGAAUGUUCACUGAACUACAGAGGAAUCACACCCAAAUGACUUUCCUGCCACGUCAUUAGUGUGGCCACUCGCGUAGGAAUUCCUUAGCAAACAUGCUCUUUUGCAUGGUGACUGUGGACAUUUUUGCAAAACUUACGCUUUCAACACUGGAUUUUAAAGAGAAUACUUAAUAAAAUGUCGCUUACAGGACUUAUUCAUAUGAGAGAGACCAUCUGGAUGCGCAUUAAGUGUCACUUUGUGUCGUAAGCUGUUGAAGGAGCGAUUUGCGCCUUUUUAAGUGUUAAUUUUGGGUAGCCGGCUUGUAUCGGCUUGAAAGCUGAAAAUUAUGCCUCUCAUCAUAAUAGCAUUAAUUUUUGUAAUUGCAAUGUGUAUGUUUAGAUUGUAAGUGAAGCUUUUAAUAAUAAUUUUCUUAAAAAACAUGAUUUUAUAUGCUG